ACACUGAUAUACAAAAAUAAGUGGGAAUAAACUAAGGAAGCUGGUAAAAAAUUUGAAGGAUGAGGACUCUCGUUUUUCUGGUAUCUCUGUUUCUACUAGUACACAUGUGUAAUGGAUACUCAAUUGGAAGAGCACCUUGUCAUAGUCAAUGUGACACCGGCCUUUCCCAGUGUUUGUCGAUUUGUUAUAGAGCGUGUUGUGAUCCUAACUGUAUACCUGAUUGUUACAGGAGGCACGGGGCUUGUUGCAGCCGCUGUUACAUGUAAACAUAGAACACAGAAAUUCAUCACUUCAAGUGUGAUGACACUACCAAUUGAUUUAAAGAUAUAAAAAAAACUUUAAAUCACGU
rnacentral:sRNA from 1 species